GAAAAUAAAACUGGAGGUGGCGGCCAUUGCUGUAGCGUGGAUCAUCCACAAAUUAUGAUGUUGGCUGUUUGAUUCCCCUUCGUGUAUCGAAGUGUCCUUGUUCAAUUGGGAGCACCCAGUGAUAGGGUGCUAACGGACAUGGAUGCAGACACCUCCGCUUCUGCACAAAAACACAUAAACAUGCAAGCUGUAUACGUGCCCCGCUGCUCACCUUGGUCUCCAGCAUGCACAGGCAAACACGAGCAACACGCUGCACAACGGGCAUGCAGCGGUGGAACCACUGUGGGUGAGGCGUGUACCGGAGUGGAGCUCCCAUGUGGCUUCACUCAAUGGUGACUGAACCAUAAGAACAGAGGGACAGAGGGCUGCACACCACGGGGACUCUGGGAUGGCUCAGCCUUCUCCUGGAGGACCGCUGCCUUGGUGUUGCAUAGAGAGCGGCUGAUGUUUUAAUCAUGGCCGCAGGGCUCAUUGUGAUGUGCAGCCACCUCUGGGGUCUCUAAUUGUCUCAGGCCAGGCUGGCUCUGCUGAUCACCCUACGUCUGGAAUGGCUAAUGACUCGCAGUGAGAGUCUAAUCAGGAGGAUCCCCAGGAAACCCAAACAACGCCACGUGUCCAGCCAGAGGACGGAUCGGGUUUCCUUUCGCCUCCAGCUCCGGCACGGACCCUCCUGGUUUGCCUGAAAGUGAUUCCUGCCGCCUCAGAUCAGCGGAAAGAUGUGAGAGUUUGACUGACAGGCGAGCUCUGCGUCCCUUUAAAUCGAGCCAGGCCUGAAAAUGGAGAUCUUACAAGCUCGGACAGGAGCAGCAGAUAUUCAGUUCUUCCCUGGAGAACCUGAUCCUUACCGGCCACUGAUGUCUCGUCAGUCCAGGAGAGUUGGAGGUGGUGGGGAACAACAAUCCAGGGAUGAUCCAUCCAGUGAUAGGGAUAGGACAAGUUGCCACGGCAACCCUGCCUCCUGAUCCCUCCGACCGGCUGGAGCUGGCAGAGAAUGAGAACAAGCGAGAGACAGACCGGAGGAGAGGAAAAGAGGAGGGGGGAGGCGAGGCGAGGCGAGGCGAGGCGAGGCGAGGCGAGGCGAGGCGGCUUCGGAUGGCUGAAGCGCUGCCAGAGGUUUAGAAAACAGCUCAGUAAUGAACAGGAGGGACCGAGGGAUCGCAUAAGAAGCCAGAGUCUCCGGAGGGCCGACCUCCUAAUAGUUAGACCAUCUGAACCCUACGUGAACUGACAGACUGGUGACCUGUCCAGGGUGUCCAAUGCCUUCACCCUAAGUCAGCUGGGAUAGACUCCAGCCCCCCAGGAUGAGGAUUCAAUGAUCUACAGGUGUACAGGAGGGUCUUGGAAUUCCAUUCCUACGGCACACCUUUUUGGACCAGCGGGAGCAGAAGUCGGAGUGUCCGAGUCAGAGAAGCACCACGGACAGCGACAGCGGAACCCCCGGCACGUCUGGGUGGAAAAGUGAAGCGGUAGCUGGAGGGAAGAUAUUUACAAACACGCCUGACGGAGAUACACCUGGCCGAGAUGAUGUUGACGGAAAAGUGACAGUACUCCGUUACCUGCCUCCACGUUUGGGUAAAAAAAGUAAAGCAGAAGCUCGAGGGAAGACACACCUGACCAGAUGACGUCAGCUCUAGUGCUGUUGUUGACAAAAAAGGUGAC
ensembl:lncRNA